CUAAACUAGUUUAGAUUCAAAAUUAUUUUAAUAUCUAAGCUUAACCCAUAUUUAUAAUGCACUUAAUUAAAAAUUAAGGUGUGAAAUUAAAAGAUCCAAAAUUGAGAAUUUAAGAUCUAAAUUUCAUUGCAUAAAACAUGGGGUUUUGGGUAUGGGUUGGAUAAUUAGGUCUUGUGAUUAGACUAUAAUUAGAGUCUUUGAUU
rnacentral:lncRNA from 1 species